AUGGCGUCGCUGACCACCAGCUCCUGCCUGCUCCUCCUCCUGGCGCUCCUCCUCCCCCUCGCCGCGGUCGCCGUGCCGCGCGGACACCGCUUUCCGUCGCUCCAGCUCUCGCCGGUCAACGCCUCGGAGCCACCCACCGCCUUCUUCGAGGUGGACCGCCCGAUCCAGCCUCCGCGCGGCAGCGUCGGGCCCUGCUCCGCGCUGCUCCUCUCCGGCUCCUUCGGCUACACCUACGGCCGCCCUCCGGCCACCGCCGCCUACGCGCCGCCCGAGUGCCUCGCCGCCGCGCGCGCCGGGGGCGGGUCGCUCGCGCUCGCGGUGCUCGAGUGGAGCGCCGACUGCCGCGGCCGCCAGUUCGACCGCAUCUUGGGCGUCUGGCUCUCCGGCGCCGAGCUCCUGCGCAGCUGCACCGCCGAGCCGCGCCCCAACGGCAUCCUCUGGUCGGUCUCCCGCGACGUCACCAGGUACGCCGCCCUCCUCUCCGAGCCUGGCGAGAUCGCGGUGUACCUUGGCAACAUCGUCGACAGCACGUACACCGGCGUCUACCACGCCAACCUCACCCUCCAUCUUCACUUCCACUCCACAACUCCGUCACCGCCGCCAACGCCGCACGCCGAUUUGAUCCUGCCCAUCUCGAGAAGCCUGCCUCUGAACGACGGGCAGUGGUUCGCCAUCCAGAAUUCGGCCGAUGUGCAGUCAAAGAAGCUCGCCAUUCCGUCGAACACCUACAGGGCGGUCCUUGAGGUGUUCGUUUCGUUCCACUCCAGUGACGAGUUCUGGUACACGAACCCUCCCAACGAGUACAUUGAGGCCAACAAUUUGUCCAGCAUUCCUGGCAAUGGUGCGUUUCGGGAGGUUAUUGUUAGAGUCGACGAACACGUCGUCGGUGCUGUUUGGCCGUUCACUGUCAUCUACACCGGUGGUGUCAACCCGCUUCUCUGGCGGCCAAUCACCAGCAUUGGCUCAUUCAACCUACCUACCUAUGACAUUGAUAUCACGCCAUUCUUGGGCAAGCUCAUGGACGGCAAGGAGCACAAUUUUGGGUUUGCUGUGACCAAUGCAUUGGAUAUGUGGUACAUUGAUGCCAAUCUGCAUCUGUGGUUGGAUCACAAGAGCAAGAAGACAGUCGGGAGCUUGAUCAGCUAUGAUGCAGCUUCGUCGGCAAAUGUGGACUCACAGUUCAGCGGGCUGGACGGGCGGUUCGUGACGAGCGCAAGCCGGCAUGUCUCCGCCACCGGGUGGGUGGAAUCGUCGCACGGAAAGGUCAUGACAACUUUCUACCAGAGAUUCAGCUACAAAAACAGCAAUGUGUAUAGCAAGAGCGGCAGUGAGCAAGUGGUGAACCAAACGAUCGACGCCAAUUCAGGUGUUUCCGCCACGAACGGCGCCAUGCUGCUGCUCUCAGAAGAAGUUCACCAGGUCUUCCCACUCUAUCUUUUCUCUGGGACCUCGGACGAAGUGGGUGAUGAGUACUCGCUGGUUUCGGUUGUCAAGCUGGGCAUCAAUGAGAAGAGGGCCUCUGGUGGGGAGCAAGGCUUCUCAUACAGCUCUCUGCAGAAUGAGCAGUCGGCACGCGGUAGUAUGAGGGUGAAGGGGAAUUUGGUGACUUCUGGGUCCGGUGAGAACCACCAGGUGUAUAAAUAUGUGGGUACCGAUGGAUGCUACUUCAGAGAUGUCAACAGCAAGAACUACACUGUCGUUUUCGACCACUCUGGUGACUCGUGCUUAAAGGGAUCAUCACGAGUUAAUGGCUCCAGAUUGCCCUCCAGUUAG
rnacentral:rRNA from 1 species